GGGUUUAUAGCUCAAUUGGUUAGAGCAUUCCGUUUACAUCGGAAAGGUUAAAGGUUCAAGUCCUUUUAAACCCACCA
rnacentral:tRNA from 1 species